AAUGAACGCUGGCGGCAUGCCUUACACAUGCAAGUCGAACGGCAGCACGGGGGCAACCCUGGUGGCGAGUGGCGGACGGGUGAGUAAAGCAUCGGAACGUAUCCUGGAGUGGGGGAUAACGUAGCGAAAGUUACGCUAAUACCGCAUAUUCUGUGAGCAGGAAAGCAGGGGAUCGCAAGACCUUGCGCUCUGGGAGCGGCCGAUGUCGGAUUAGCUAGUUGGUGGGGUAAAGGCCUACCAAGGCGACGAUCCGUAGCGGGUCUGAGAGGAUGAUCCGCCACACUGGGACUGAGACACGGCCCAGACUCCUACGGGAGGCAGCGGUGGGGAAUUUUGGACAAUGGGCGCAAGCCUGAUCCAGCCAUGCCGCGUGAGUGAAGAAGGCCUUCGGGUUGGUAAAGUCUCUUUCGGUCGGGGAAGGAAAGUUAGCACGGGUUAAGUACCUUGUGUAGAUGACGGUACCC
rnacentral:rRNA from 1 species